UGAAGUAUAUGACUGUAGCAAGCCCCAUUUAAACUUUUGCUUCAGAUUGUGACUUUGGGUUCAAAGUUGAUUUUGUUGGUUGCCCCUUUCUUUAUGCUUAGGAAUCUUGAACCCUAACAACGAGUAUGCAUCCCUGAAUCCCAAAGAAGGUAGCUUUCACGGAUGGAAAUUGUAUGGUUUUGUGAAGCUCUGAUUUUUGCAGAUUCAACAGUUAAGUCACAGGUCAACUGAGGCGUUUUCCACUUUAGCCAAAGUAAACAAGUCUAUACCUUAAGAUGAAGCUAUUUGGGCCAUUAAAGUAACAACUAAUCAGUCUUUGUUUAUUUGUGAUAUUAAACAGGCCUGAGUUUGUUUAAAAACUGUUUCCAUAUACUGUUUGUUCAAAUGUGCUUUUUCAUUGGUGUUUACCUAAAACAGAUAAACAUGAUGUUUCAAACUAGAUGGUGAGAUCUUUGUCAUGAUCCCCAUGAUUCAAUGAGUGUUAGAAGCAAAAAUGAUGGGGAAAGUAGUUUUACAGUAGAGCGAUCUUUAAAUACCAACACUCCAUGUGCUGAGUUUUCUGAUGCUUGGGAAGGGAAUAAUGUUUCUUUCUAAUUAUGUUUAAAUAUAGUUAAAGGU
rnacentral:lncRNA from 1 species